rnacentral:rRNA from 1 species
AGAGUUUGAUCCUGGCUCAGGAUGAACGCUGGCGGCGUGCUUAACACAUGCAAGUCGAACGAUGACUUUUGUGCUUGCACAAAAUGAUUAGUGGCGAACGGGUGAGUAACACGUGAGUAACCUGCCCUUAACUUCGGGAUAAGCCUGGGAAACCGGGUCUAAUACCGGAUACGACGGAUCCCCGCAUGGGGGUCCGUGGAAAGCUUGAUGCGGUUUUGGAUGGACUCGCGGCCUAUCAGCUAGUUGGUUGGGGUAAUGGCCCACCACGGCGACGACGGGUAGCCGGCCUGAGAGGGUGACCGGCCACACUGGGACUGAGACACGGCCCAGACUCCUACGGGAGGCAGCAGUGGGGAAUAUUGCACAAUGGGCGAAAGCCUGAUGCAGCGACGCCGCGUGAGGGACGAAGGCCUUCGGGUUGUAAACCUCUUUCAGCAGGGAAGAAGCGAAAGUGACGGUACCUGCAGAAGAAGCGCCGGCUAACUACGUGCCAGCAGCCGCGGUAAUACGUAGGGCGCAAGCGUUAUCCGGAAUUAUUGGGCGUAAAGAGCUCGUAGGCGGUUUGUCGCGUCUGCUGUGAAAGCCCGGGGCUCAACCCCGGGUCUGCAGUGGGUACGGGCAGACUAGAGUGCAGUAGGGGAGACUGGAAUUCCUGGUGUAGCGGUGAAAUGCGCAGAUAUCAGGAGGAACACCGAUGGCGAAGGCAGGUCUCUGGGCUGUAACUGACGCUGAGGAGCGAAAGCAUGGGGAGCGAACAGGAUUAGAUACCCUGGUAGUCCAUGCCGUAAACGUUGGGCACUAGGUGUGGGACCCAUUCCACGGGUUCCGUGCCGCAGCUAACGCAUUAAGUGCCCCGCCUGGGGAGUACGGCCGCAAGGCUAAAACUCAAAGGAAUUGACGGGGGCCCGCACAAGCGGCGGAGCAUGCGGAUUAAUUCGAUGCAACGCGAAGAACCUUACCAAGGCUUGACAUACACCGGAAAAGUGCAGAGAUGUGCUCCCCGUAAGGUCGGUGUACAGGUGGUGCAUGGUUGUCGUCAGCUCGUGUCGUGAGAUGUUGGGUUAAGUCCCGCAACGAGCGCAACCCUUGUCCUGUGUUGCCAGCGGGUUAUGCCGGGGACUCAUAGGAGACUGCCGGGGUCAACUCGGAGGAAGGUGGGGAUGACGUCAAAUCAUCAUGCCCCUUAUGUCUUGGGCUUCACGCAUGCUACAAUGGCCGGUACAAAGGGCUGCGAUACCGCGAGGUGGAGCGAAUCCCAAAAAGCCGGUCUCAGUUCGGAUUGGGGUCUGCAACUCGACCCCAUGAAGUCGGAGUCGCUAGUAAUCGCAGAUCAGCAACGCUGCGGUGAAUACGUUCUCGGGCCUUGCACACACAAGGCGUCAAG